AGAGUUUGAUCAUGGCUCAGGAUGAACGCUGGCGGCGUGCCUAACACAUGCAAGUCGAACGGACUUUUUCAUGAAGCCUAGCGAUUGAAAAGUUAGUGGCGGACGGGUGAGUAACGCGUGGGUAACCUGCCUUGUACUGGGGGACAACAGUUGGAAACGACUGCUAAUACCGCAUAAGCGCACAGCUUCGCAUGAAGCAGUGUGAAAAACUCCGGUGGUACAAGAUGGACCCGCGUCUGAUUAGCUGGUUGGUGAGGUAACGGCCCACCAAGGCGACGAUCAGUAGCCGGCUGAGAGGGUGAACGGCCACAUUGGGACUGAGACACGGCCCAAACGUCCUACGGGAGGCA
rnacentral:rRNA from 1 species